GCAGGGGACCGCAAGGCCUUGUGCUCCUGGAGCGGCCGAUAUCUGAUUAGCUAGUUGGUGGGGUAAAGGCCCACCAAGGCAUCGAUCAGUAGCUGGUCUGAGAGGACGACCAGCCACACUGGAACUGAGACACGGUCCAGACUCCUACGGGAGGCAGCAGUGGGGAAUUUUGGACAAUGGGCGCAAGCCUGAUCCAGCAAUGCCGCGUGAGUGAAGAAGGCCUUCGGGUUGUAAAGCUCUUUUGUCAGGGAAGAAACGGCCGUUUCUAAUACAGAUGGCUAAUGACGGUACCUGAAGAAUAAGCACCGGCUAACUACGUGCCAGCAGCCGCGGUAAUACGUAGGGUGCAAGCGUUAAUCGGAAUUACUGGGCGUAAAGCGUGCGCAGGCGGUUUUGUAAGUCUGUCGUGAAAUCCCCGGGCUCAACCUGGGAAUGGCGAUGGAGACUGCAAGGCUAGAGUUUGGCAGAGGGGGGUAGAAUUCCACGUGUAGCAGUGAAAUGCGUAGAUAUGUGGAGGAACACCGAUGGCGAAGGCAGCCCCCUGGGUCAAAACUGACGCUCAUGCACGAAAGCGUGGGGAGCAAACAGGAUUAGAUACCCUGGUAGUCCACGCCCUAAACGAUGUCUACUAGUUGUCGGGUCUUAAUUGACUUGGUAACGCAGCUAACGCGUGAAGUAGACCGCCUGGGGAGUACGGUCGCAAGAUUAAAACUCAAAGGAAUUGACGGGGACCCGCACAAGCGGUGGAUGAUGUGGAUUAAUUCGAUGCAACGCGAAAAACCUUACCUACCCUUGACAUGGAAGGAAUCCCGGAGAGAUUUGGGAGUGCCCGAAAGGGAACCUUUACACAGGUGCUGCAUGGCUGUCGUCAGCUCGUGUCGUGAGAUGUUGGGUUAAGUCCCGCAACGAGCGCAACCCUUGUCAUUAGUUGCUACGAAAGAGCACUCUAAUGAGACUGCCGGUGACAAACCGGAGGAAGGUGGGGAUGACGUCAAGUCCUCAUGGCCCUUAUGGGUAGGGCUUCACACGUCAUACAAUGGUACAUACAGAGGGCCGCCAACCCGCGAGGGGGAGCUAAUCCCAGAAAGUGUAUCGUAGUCCGGAUUGUAGUCUGCAACUCGACUGCAUGAAGUUGGAAUCGCUAGUAAUCGCGGAUCAGCAUGUCGCGGUGAAUACGUUCCCGGGUCUUGUACACACCGCCCGUCACACCAUGGGAGCGGGUUUUACCAGAAGUAGGUAGCUUAACCGUAAGGAGGGCGCUUACCACGGUAGGAUUCGUGACUGGGGUGAAGUCGUAACAAGGUA
rnacentral:rRNA from 1 species